rnacentral:rRNA from 1 species
GUGGGGAAUCUUGCGCAAUGGACGAAAGUCUGACGGAGCAACGCCGCGUGAGUGAUGAAGGUUUUCGGACUGUAAAGCUCUGUUGUUUGGGACGAAAGUGCCUGUUGCGAACAGUUACGGGUAUUGACGGUACUAAACGAGGAAGCCACGGCUAACUACGUGCCAGCAGCCGCGGUAAUACGUAGGUGGCAAGCGUUGUCCGGAAUUAUUGGGCGUAAAGAGCAUGUAGGCGGGAAUCUAAGUCUGUUGUGAAAAUGCGGGGCUCAACCCCGUAUUGCGAUGGAAACUGGGUUUCUUGAGUGCAGGAGAGGAAAGGGGAAUUCCCAGUGUAGCGGUGAAAUGCGUAGAUAUUGGGAGGAACACCAGUGGCGAAGGCGCCUUUCUGGACUGUGUCUGACGCUGAGAUGCGAAAGCCAGGGUAGCGAACGGGAUUAGAUACCCGAGUAGUCC